rnacentral:lncRNA from 1 species
GUGGGAACAUCCAGUUGCGGGAAAACAAGCUUAACACGCCCACUGAUUCUACAUUAUGCUCCUACCUCCCGGCAGCCUCUCCAGGCCCAGAACUUUCUCCAGUCAGCCUCUACAGACCAAGCUCAUGACUCACAAUGGCCUAUUUAGGCCCAUACCCUACGUCACGGCAGCCUCCGCAGAUGAGCCUACUGCCUCACAACAGCCUCCACAGGCACAGCUCCAUCGUUACAAUGGCCUCUUUAGACCCAGCUCCUGCCUCCCAGCCUUCUCUCCAGGCUCUGAACUUUCUCAGGUCUCCCUCUGUUGUCCAAGGCUGGAGUGUAGUAGUGCUAUCGCAGCUGACUGCAGCCUCAACCUUCCAGGCUGAAGCGAUCCUCCCACCUCAACCUCCCACGUGGCUGAGACUACAGGUGCUUGCCACUAUGCCCAACUAACAUUUGGAAUUUUCGUAUACGUG